UACGUAGGGUGCAAGCGUUGUCCGGAAUUAUUGGGCGUAAAGAGCUCGUAGGCGGUCUGUCGCGUCGAAUGUGAAAACCCGGGGCUCAACCCCGGGCCUGCAUUCGAUACGGGCAGACUAGAGUUCGGUAGGGGAGACUGGAAUUCCUGGUGUAGCGGUGAAAUGCGCAGAUAUCAGGAGGAACACCGGUGGCGAAGGCGGCACUCUGGGCCGGUACUGACGCUGAGGAGCGAAAGCGUGGGGAGCGAACAGG
rnacentral:rRNA from 1 species